AUUGAACGCUGGCGGCAUGCCUUACACAUGCAAGUCGAACGGCAGCACGGGUGCUUGCACCUGGUGGCGAGUGGCGAACGGGUGAGUAAUACAUCGGAACGUACCUUAUCGCGGGGGAUAACGCAGCGAAAGCUGUGCUAAUACCGCAUACGCCCUGAGGGGGAAAGCGGGGGAUCGAAAGACCUCGCGCGAUUAGAGCGGCCGAUGCCUGAUUAGCUUGUUGGUGGGGUAAAAGCCCACCAAGGCGACGAUCAGUAGCUGGUCUGAGAGGACGGUCAGCCACACUGGGACUGGGACACGGCCCAGACUCCUGCGGGAGGCAGCAGUGGGGAAUUUUGGACAAUGGGGGCAACCCUGAUCCAGCAAUGCCGCGUGAGUGAAGAAGGCCUUCGGGUUGUAAAGCUCUUUUGUCAGGGAAGAAACACCGGCUCUAACACAGUCCGGGAAUGACGGUACCUGAAGAAUAAGCACCGGCUAACUACGUGCCAGCCGCCGCCGUAA
rnacentral:rRNA from 1 species